UGUGGCUGUGAUGGAAAACUGUUUCUUUGGGGACAAGCCCUUUAUAUCAUCGCAAAACUCCUGGCUGAUGAAUUAAUCAGUCCUAAAGACAUUGAUCCUGUUCAGCGCUAUAUCCCACUACAGAAUCAACGUAACGUGAGCAUGAGGUUUUCCAAUCAGG